rnacentral:rRNA from 1 species
GAUGAACGCUGGCGGCGUGCCUAACACAUGCAAGUCGAACGGAGUCCAGCCUUUAAGACCUUCGGGUCAAAGAGGGGAAGACUGAGUGGCGGACGGGUGAGUAACACGUGGGCAACCUGGCUCAUAGAGGGGGAUAACAGAGAGAAAUUUCUGCUAGUACCGCAUAAGCACACACUGCCGCAUGGCAGAGGGUGAAAAGAGAAUCGCUAUGAGAUGGACCCGCGUCUGAUUAGCCAGUUGGCAGGGUAAGAGCCUACCAAAGCGACGAUCAGUAGCCGAUCUGAGAGGAUGAACGGCCACAUUGGGACUGAGACACGGCCCAAACUCCUACGGGAGGCAGCAGUGGGGGAUAUUGCACAAUGGGGGGAACCCUGAUGCAGCGACGCCGCGUGAGUGAAGAAGUAUUUCGGUAUGUAAAGCUCUAUCAGCAGGGAAGAUAAUGACAGUACCUGAAGAAGAAGCCCCGGCUAACUACGUG